rnacentral:piRNA from 1 species
UCCCUGUAUGUUUCAAGGAUUGAUCCCGCU